UACCGGAAGGUGUGCUUGGCAA
rnacentral:rRNA from 1 species